UAAUCAAGACCUGACACUACUCACCCAAGGCUUAUCUUUUUGUAUCCAUCCUGGUUGCACUGAAGAUGAAGUGACCAAGUAUGGCGACCAUGGCAGGAGCUUCAGGAGCUGCAGGCUCCAAUACUGGCCACGGUGAAGGGCUCGCUCUGGCACCUCAACAUGCCCACUUCACACUCCGACAUGGUGGUGGGCGCGCUGCCAUCUCCCAGAGCCACACACAGAAGGCCGUCAGCCUCUGGACACUCCUCGGGUUCUCUGCACACACAGGCUUGACCUGACGCCCGGCCACAACAACAACACAAGUUAAUAGCUAACUCAAAGCCAGACGUUUACAUUUCAGCAACUUCUCCUUCUAAGCACAACAGUUAUAUUGCACAUUUCCUCUGUGUAAUAAAACACAAAAGAUGUGUAAUUAAAUAAUGCCUAAAGAAUGA